rnacentral:rRNA from 1 species
UACGUAGGUGGCAAGCGUUGUCCGGAAUUAUUGGGCGUAAAGGGCUCGUAGGCGGUCCAUCGCGUCGGGAGUGAAAAGCUGGGGCUCAACCCCAGUCCUGCUUUCGAUACGGGUGGACUAGAGGUAUGCAGGGGAGAACGGAAUUCCUGGUGUAGCGGUGAAAUGCGCAGAUAUCAGGAGGAACACCGGUGGCGAAGGCGGCAUCCUGGACCAUUACUGACGCUGAGGCGCGAAAGCUAGGGGAGCAAACGGG